GGCCCUUUCUCUCUUUAUAAAGGGAAAACACAAUGUUAUAGUGCUAGCCAGGAAAUUUAGGUAAACUCAGAUUCAACCUUACCUGGGAUCUCGACCAACAUACAGGAAGACAGCUAGUCCACACAGAAUUGCCUGUCUGUUACAUACAGAAACACUGACCGUCACGGCAGUAACAAGUCAGCUGACAUGUGAGAAAAUAAAGCAUAAUAUGCCUGUGCAAUGAAAUGCUCAGCUGUAAGUGAAGCAGAGUCCUGACUUGGGCAAUAGCAUAUAAUAAUCUUAAAAGAACUCUAUUUGUAAGGAAAAAAUACCACAAAAGAGCACACGGUGUGAAUUACAGCUUUAUGAAAUGUCCAUAAGGAGUAAAUCCACCAAGAGGGAGGCAGCCCAGCCCCAAGAGGGGUCAAGGCUGAGUGGGAAUGCAUGACAACGGAUGAAUGUGAGUUUCCUAUGAGGGCAGCCUCUCAGGAGGCUGACAGGCGCUGUCCAGUUGUGUAUUGUAAGUCCUGGAAUUGUAUGCUAUGACCUGUAGCUCAACAAAGCUGCUUAAGAAGCACAAGCAUAAUUGAUUUUACCUAAAAAAUAGAAAUAGAACCAGGCAUGGCGCCCUAGGCCUGGUGUAAUCACAGCGCCGAGGAAGGGGAAGCAGGAGGAUUGUGUGUUUAAGACACGCCCGAAUUAUUCGACAAGUUUCAGACCAGGUUGGCCACAUACGCAUAGUGAGAAUAUGUCAUAAACAAAUACCUGCCCAGAGGAAAACAAUUUCUCUCCUUCCUUCCUUCCUUCCUUCCUUCCUUCCUUCCUUCCUUCCUUCCUUCCUUCCUUCCUUCCAUUCUCUCGUUCUUAAAUGACUUGGGACUCACAAAGACCUACCUGUCUCUGCCUCCUGAGUGCUGGAACUAAAGAUGUGCAACCCAUGACCGAGGAAAGAUAGUUUAUUAAAAAAUAAAGUUCAAGAGUUUUCUAGAAGACUUAACAGGGUCUUUUAAAUAAGGAAUCCUGGUGUCUGGAAACAGGGUGAGUUUGACUUCAUCCCUUCCUGUCCUCCCUUCAUGUCUUUCUCUUGCCUAAUUGCUGUAGCUAAGAUUUUGAGCAUUAUAUUGAAUAAGAAAGGGAAGGGUGGACACUUCUCAGUCCCAAUUUUAGAGGAAAAGCUCUUCAUUUGCCUCUAUUUAAUAUAUUGUUGGGUGUUGUUUUGUUGCAUAAAGACUAUUAUUUUGAGUUUAUUAUUUAAAGUCGUGGUGAACUUUGUCAGAACCUUUUUUCAAUGUCAAUUGAAAUAAUUACACUUUGUCCUUGAGUUUGUUUAUAUGGUGUGUUAUAUUUAUUGAUUUAUAUUGAAUCAACCUUGACUUCCUGGGAUGAAGCCCAUGGGGUCAUAAUGUAUACUUUCCUUAAUGUGUUUUGGAGUUUUGUCUGUAAGUAUUUUGUUAAAAAUUUUUCUAUCUAUGUUCACCAAAUAAAUUACUUUGUGGUUGUUU